rnacentral:rRNA from 1 species
ACGAACGCUGGCGGCGUGCUUAACACAUGCAAGUCGAGCGAGGAGCUUCGGCUCCUAGCGGCGAACGGGUGAGUAACACGUGGGCAACCUGCCCUCAGCACUGGGAUAACCCCGGGAAACCGGGGCUAAUACCGGAUAUGAUCUCAGCGGGCAUCCGCUGAGAUGCAAAGUUCCGGCGGCUGAGGAUGGGCCCGCGGCCUAUCAGCUUGUUGGUGGGGUAAUGGCCUACCAAGGCGACGACGGGUAGCCGGCCUGAGAGGGCGACCGGCCACACUGGGACUGAGACACGGCCCAGACUCCUACGGGAGGCAGCAGUGGGGAAUAUUGCGCAAUGGGCGAAAGCCUGACGCAGCGACGCCGCGUGAGGGAUGAAGGCCUUCGGGUUGUAAACCUCUUUCAGCAGGGACGAAGCGCAAGUGACGGUACCUGCAGAAGAAGCACCGGCCAACUACGU